rnacentral:rRNA from 1 species
UACGAGGGGGGCGAGCGUUGUUCGGAAUUAUUGGGCGUAAAGGGUGCGUAGGCGGUUUGGUAAGUCUUGUGUGAAAUCUUCGGGCUCAACUCGAAGUCUGCAUGAGAAACUGCCGGGCUUGAGUGUGGGAGAGGUGAGUGGAAUUCCCGGUGUAGCGGUGAAAUGCGUAGAUAUCGGGAAGAACACCCGUGGCGAAGGCGGCUCUCUGGGACGGUACUGACGCUGAGACGCGAAAGCGUGGGGAGCGAACAGG